rnacentral:rRNA from 1 species
GCUGCCGUUAUAUGUCAAAUAGAGUAUAGUAGACGUAGGCGGAUUUAUCAUGAGCGGUGAAUGCUUAAUAUGCUAAAGAAACUGAUAGCGAGGCAGCUUACUAAAUAUAAUGACGCUAUGCACGAAGCGUGGGGAUCAUCAGGAUAAAUACCCUGGUAGUCACGCUGUAUCGAUGAUAACUGGCUUUUGGCGAUACACAGUCCGAGCUGACAGAAAUCAAUAAUUAUCCACCUGGGGAGUACGACGCAACGUUGAAACUCAAAGGAUUGACUGGGGCCCGCACAAGCGGAGGAGCAUGUGGUUUAAUUCGAUGAUACCCGAGGAAACUUACCCGGGCUUAAAUUGCAUAUGCUGUAUGUUGAAAGGCAUAUUUCUACGGACAUCUGUGAAAGUGCUGCAUGGUUGUCGUCAGCUCGUGCCGUGAGGUGUCGGGUUAAGUCCAUAACGAGCGCACCCUCAUAUUCAGUACCAUCGCGUAAAGGCGGGGACUCUGGAUAGACUGCCUACGCAAGUAGAGAGGAAGUGGGGAUGACGUCAAUCAGCACGGCCCUUACUUCCGGGCUACACACGUGCUAAAUGGUCGAACAAAAGCAGCGAGCCGGGGCGGGAGCGAUCUCCCAAUCGUCUCAUCCGAACGGAUCUGCACCCA